rnacentral:rRNA from 1 species
AACGCGAAGAACCUUACCAAGGUUUGACAUGCAGGGAAAAGCCGUAGAGAUAUGGUGUCCGUAAGGGUCCUGUACAGGUGGUGCAUGGCUGUCGUCAGCUCGUGUCGUGAGAUGUUGGGUUAAGUCCCGCAACGAGCGCAACCCUCGUCCUAUGUUGCCAGCGGGUAAUGCCGGGGACUCAUAGGAGACUGCCGGGGUCAACUCGGAGGAAGGUGGGGAUGACGUCAAGUCAUCAUGCCCCUUAUGUCUUGGGCUGCAAACAUGCUACAAUGGCCGGUACAAAGGGUUGCGAGACCGCAAGGUGGAGCGAAUCCCAAAAAGCCGGUCUCAGUUCGGAUUGGGGUCUGCAACUCGACCCCAUGAAGUCGGAGUCGCUAGUAAUCGCAGAUCAGCAACGCUGCGGUGAAUACGUUCCCGGGCCUUGUA